rnacentral:tRNA from 1 species
CGCGAUAUGGUGUAAAGGUUGCACAUAGGGCUCAUAACCCAAAGGUUCCAGUUCGAGUCUGGAUAUCGCUA